GCCUGGCUGGCUCAGUCGGUAGAGCGUAUGACUCUCAAUCUCAGGGUCAUGAGUUCAAGUCCCAUGUUGAGCA